GCCGUGAAAGCCCUCGAUUCUUUGUCUAUCGGUAGACGGCCUACGCACGGGAACGACGGACAUUUUUUUCAACUACUUGAUAUUCCCUCUUUACCUCGGUCCCUUAGUUGACGCCUAUGCACGCAGGUGGGAAUCCAGCGCGCCUUUGGCGCGCAGCGCACAUAGUGCGCUGUGUCCCCGCCUGCGCGGGGAUGACGAGGGGGCGUGG
rnacentral:antisense_RNA from 1 species